UCUCUCUCUCUCUCUCUCUUAUUCUUAAUCUCUCUCUCUCUCUUCUCUCUCUCCUUUCUCCUUGGCUCAACAUUAUCUUCCUCCUGACUCACUUUCUUCGCUUGUUUUUCAUUCAACCUUUAAGAAAAUUUGCAUUGGGGACAUAUUUUAGGGUUGCGCAGUCAGUAGUAAUUUUUCAUGGCAUUUGGCUGUGAGUAAUGGUAAAUACCCUCCCCUAGUCAUUUUUCUGUUUGUUUUUUUGUUUCAUGCAAGUAAUGCUGUAGUUUUUGGGAAACUUGAAAAUUACUUGACUAAUGAACUUUAUUUUUAUGUCCUGCUCUCUCCCUUUCUUCCCCUCGCUUAGCAACCAAAGGGUCCAAGCAGAACAAGCAGGAACAAGGUACUCCAGCUCUUCACAGUGAUGUGUGUUCAAUGAGGACAGUUCCUCUUUCUCUCCUCCUCCUCAUCCCACUCUUGAACUUCCUCUAUCUAACAUCCCUCUCUUCAAGCUGACCUCCUGAGUAUCUACCAUGCCCACUGUAGAUGGCCUGCCUCACCCACUCAGUCCCUACUUUAAACUAUCCACACCUCAUAGGGAGGCCAAGUCUUCAAUUCAGACCCURAAAUGACUGCAAYAGGGUAGACGUCUACACACCAACACAYCACCUCUGUCUUUUCUGGAGGGGCACUMAUCUUUCUCUUCUUGGUCUCCUCUUUUCUCUCUGUCCACUCUCUCCUCUCGUUCCCCCUCUUCCAUCUCUCGCUCCUGACUAAAGCUCCCUCUGAAACAGACUGAUUCUAAUCUACCAUCAAAGCUCUCAUUCUUCAUGUCACACCUUUAUCCACUCCAUCCUGCCCACUCCAUCCUGUCGACUCUCUCUUCCUCUCUCUCUCUGUCUCUCUGUGUGUGUGAACAUAAUGAGCCAGCUGAGCCAAAGUGGACCAUCCAGACGUUGUUCUGUUAAAUUACUACGGAGAGGACCAGAGUUGACUGCUUCUGAACAGAACCAUGUUUUUGAGUUGACGUCAUUGUUUUUUAGACGAAAAACAACUAUUUUUUGUAUCCAAAGUGGGACCAACUGUUAAACGUUAUUAAAACAGUUAACCAGUGACGACACUGCCUAAACCAGGAUAUGCUGUGUGAGUGGAACCCUGGGAAUGAUGAACUAGAAUAUUGUGACUGUUCUGCUACGCCCUCUACUGGGAUCAUACUGGUUAGACUGGUCCAACUGUUCUGUAACACCUGACACUCUGGGAUUGGAGAAUAGACCCUGCUACUCUGUGGUCUUCAUCUGACCAUAUCUGGAAUUAACUGGACUGUGUCUGGUGGUUUACCUCUGUCUUAAAAGGCAAUCAAAAGGAAUUGUGGGAAACACACUGAGGGUACCGCCUCACUUAACCUCACACGCUCCGAACCACAUCGGCUGAUYGACAGAUGCUCCUCACCAACCAGGUGUGCAGGUACAGUAUUUAGACUGUCUGCUGAGCACUUAACCAGGCGAGGACCUCCACCAAUGAGAAGAGGCCUAAAGCAGGUGUUUAUGUUUGAAUAGAGKUUUUUUGUUUUAGUGCAGUAAAGACUCUGCUUUAGGUGUUUCAGUUAAAUGUUGAUGUUUUGUAGAUGUCCUGUAAUGUUGGCAUCCAUUUUGGUUAUUUGAAACAUCCUGAAAAAAAUCAAAAUUUUUACAUAGCUGAACUUUUUUUAUACAAAUGUUUACAGGUCUAGAUUAACUCCGAUUGCUGUUGUUUAUAGUGCUAUCAAGAAUAACUAAAGCACUUUAGUACAGGUUACCCUGUAGUUAUAUAACAUACAUUUGUAUAAUCUUUUCAUUAAACAAAUAGCAUUAAAAAAUGCAAUUUUAUUAUCAAAGCAAUUUAAAUUAAUACAUUUUAUUUUGAUUGUGUCAUCUUUUAUCUGUUGGUUAGAUAWAUGACAUUUUUGAAUUUAUUACUUCAAUGCAAUAUCAUGUUMCAUUCACAAAAGUAAUAUAACACUAAAUUGCAUUUACAGUAGAAGUGUUACAAAWAUACAUGUUUUCUUUUCAAAAGUGAGAGAUUAACCUGAAAUUAUUCUUAUUAAUUUAAUCUCACAAAAACGAGUGUAUAUUUAAUUAAAUUCAUAUUUCUGAUAAAUUGCUUAUCUUAAUCCAACAUAAUUAAUCCUUCUUAAAUACAGGCUAUUUGGGGAUGCAGUUUUUCCCACAUUCUAAUGUUGUCUUUGGUCACAACAUUUAGAAAACAAUGUUUUCUUUCAGAAUAAAUAUGUUGACUAUUAGAUAUGCCUGUAAGCACUUACUCAUGAAGAGGAGUCUGCAGUAUUACUUUACUCACACAUUUGGAUAACAAUAUGCUUCAAUGACAGGUAAAUAUUUAGUUCUAGUCUUCACAGGUUAUUCAGGAAUAUAAUGAUUAUUCCAGGGGUUUAAACACUUAUGUCUGGAACCUUGUUGUAUAAAGCUGGUGCUCCCAGAUUUAGUUUUUUUUGUUUUCACAUUUUAGUGAAGUAUGUAGCAUCUUCUAUGAAGAGCGAACUGCAAACUGAGCCCUUUUAUACAAGGUGACGACAAAAUAAACAUGAUUGCAAUAAGACUGUUGA